GAUGAACGCUGGCGGCGUGCCUAAUACAUGCAAGUCGAACGCUGGAAAUCUAGCUUGCUCGAUUGAAGGAGUGGCGAACGGGUGAGUAAUACAUAAGCAACCUACCCACGAAGACUGGGAUAAUCUCUGGAAACGGGGACUAAUACCGGAUAGGUAAUCGGAAGGCAUCUUCUGAUUAUUAAAGGUUAAAAACACUGGUGGAUGGGCUUAUGGCGCAUUAGUUAGUUGGUGAGGUAACGGCCCACCAAGACGAUGAUGCGUAGCCGGCCUGAGAGGGUGAACGGCCACAUUGGGACUGAGACACGGCCCAGACUCCUACGGGAGGCAGCAGUAGGGAAUUGUCGGCAAUGGGGGAAACCCUGACCGAGCAACGCCGCGUGAGUGAUGACGGCCUUCGGGUUGUAAAGCUCUGUUGUAAGGGAAGAACGGUAGAUAGAGAAUAUCUAAAUGACGGUACCUUACCAGAAAGCCACGGCUAACUACGUG
rnacentral:rRNA from 1 species